AAAAGAGAUAAUUUCAAAAAUGAUCUGGAUUGAGGGAGUCUUGCUCUGUCUGCCCUGGCUGGAGUGCAGUGGCGCAAUCUCAGCUCAGCGCAACCUCUGCCUCCUGGGUUCCAGCGAUUCUCCUGCCUCAGCCUCCUGAGUAGCUGGGACCACCAGCAUGUGCCACCAUGCCUAGCUAAUUUUUGUAUUUUUAAUAGAGACGGGGUUUCACCAUAUUGUCCAGUCUCGUCUCAAACUCUUGAUCUCAAGUGAUCCACCUGCCUCAGCCUCCCAAAGUUAUUCAUAUAUUGGUGUGUAUUUCUUUUUCACACUUGCUUAUUUUCUGUCACUGCAAGAUACUCUGGGAUUAUCUUGCCCUUUUCUUUCCCAGUCCUAGAAUCAGUUAUUUCUUCAAAAGUCUCUGGUUACUUUUUCUGUAGAAUGGUAUAAAAAAAACAAGAUCUGGAUGCUGUGUGUGCUCAUUGCUACUAAGAUAUUCUUUGCUUCUAUGUCCUCUCAGCUGACAGAGCAGAUAAAUGUAUGUGUGUCUAAUAACCCACAUAUCUACACAUACAUCUAUAUGUAACUAUCUAUAUCUCUAUAAGUUCAUUUAAACAUGAGUUAAUCCUGAUGUCUCCAACUCUAGCACAUUACCACAUGGAUCAUUCUAGUCUUUGUCCCUUGAUUAUCUGUAAACUUGGAUUCCAGCAAUAAGAAAUCUGGCUCCUACAAUCUGCCUUCUAUUUACAGAAUUUUCAAUGUCUCAGUAGAUGUGGGUAGCAGUAUCAGAAUUAACCCACACUCUCAUGAAAAACCUCUUUAUCAAUUAGAGUACAAUGUUUAUGUAUAGUUUCUUUUGCUUUUAAUCUUGAAUAUCCUACUUAUUCCCAAAUUUACUUAGCUCAACAACUUUUUCCCAAAUACCCUUCAGUGAGGUUCUUUCAUACAUUUGUAAUACAGUUAGAUUGUUUUGUCACAUUCUACAGUGUAUCAAGGUAUAUCAUAACCUUACACAUGUACAUUUUUAAAAAUUCACAUGCAUUAGGCUUUAUUCUUUGAACUGUAAAGUUCUAUUGGUUUUAACAAAUGAGUCAUGUACCUACGAUUACAGUAUUACGUUUCACAGAUCUAAAACAUCUCAUGUGUUUCACAACUUCAGCUCUCAUCUCCUACCCUGGAACCUCUCACAACCAUUGAUAUUUUUACUGGCCACAUAGUUUUGCUUUUUCCAGAACGUCAGAUAAUUGGAAGAAUAGCCUUUUGAGGCUGGCUUCUUUGACUCACUAAUAAUAUUUAAGAUUCAUCUAUGUUAGUCUGUGACUUGUUAGCACAUUUAUUUGUACUGCUGAAUGAUAUUACAUUGUAUGGAUGCAUCGCAGUUGCUUUAUCCAUUCAUCUGUUGAAGGACAUUUUAGUUGCUUCCAGUUUUUGGCAAUAAUAGAUAAAGAUGCCAAAACAUUCAUGUCCAGGUUUUUGUGUAGACACUUUCAAAUUAGCUGGAUAAAUACGAAGAAGCACAAUUGCUAGAUGACAUGGUAAGAAUAUGUUUUACUUUGUAAAAAACUGUUCAAGUGUCUUCCAUAGUGGCUAUACCAUUUUGCAUUCCUACCAACAAUAAAUGAGAAUUUCCAUUGCAUUACAUCGUAGCCAGCAAUGUGUGUUUUUGAUUUUUGAAUUUUAACCAUUCUCAUAUGUACAUAGUAUCUAGUUGUUUUAAUUAGUAAUUCCUCAAUGACAAAUGAUGUUGAACAUCUACUUAUACGUUUACUUGCUUGCUAUCUAUGGACCUUUUUUCGUGAGACAUCUGUAUAGAUCUUUUGCCUGUUUUUUUUUUAAUUGGGUUGUUUUAUUAUUGGUCAGUUUUAUGCAUUCUUUGUAUAUUUCAGAUCUAAGGUCUUUAUCAGAUAUAUGUUUGCAAAUAAUGUUUUUCAGUAGCUUGUUUUUUCAUUCUCUUAACAAUGUAUUUGCAGAGCAAAAGUCUUUUUUAAUUUUAAUGAAGUCCAACAUAUUAAUUUAUUUGUUCAUGUAUUAUUAUGCUAUCGAUACUGUUUGUAAGAACUCAUCAUCAAACCCAAACUCCCAUAAAUUUUCUCCUAUGUUUUC
rnacentral:lncRNA from 1 species